rnacentral:rRNA from 1 species
UACGUAGGGUGCGAGCGUUGUCCGGAAUUAUUGGGCGUAAAGAGCUCGUAGGCGGUGUGUCGCGUCGGCCGUGAAAACCUGCAGCUUAACUGUGGGCUUGCGGUCGAUACGGGCAGACUAGAGUGCGGUAGGGGAGACUGGAAUUCCUGGUGUAGCGGUGAAAUGCGCAGAUAUCAGGAGGAACACCGGUGGCGAAGGCGGGUCUCUGGGCCGUAACUGACGCUGAGGAGCGAAAGCAUGGGGAGCGAACAGG